rnacentral:rRNA from 1 species
UACGAAGGGGGCUAGCGUUGCUCGGAAUCACUGGGCGUAAAGGGCGCGUAGGCGGACUUUUAAGUCGGGGGUGAAAGCCCAGGGCUCAACCCUGGAAUUGCCUUCGAUACUGGGAGUCUUGAGUUCGGAAGAGGUUGGUGGAACUGCGAGUGUAGAGGUGAAAUUCGUAGAUAUUCGCAAGAACACCGGUGGCGAAGGCGGCCAACUGGUCCGAUACUGACGCUGAGGCGCGAAAGCUAGGGGAGCAAACGGG